GGUCCCUCUGUUGUGGAGCUUUCUUGUGAGCUUAGAUCUUCAGAGACAGGAGCAGCAGCCACAGAGGAGCACUGGUGGCCAACCCAUAUUGCCAAGCCUGAAGGGGCAAACUUCAAGCUUCAGAGCACUGGGCUGCUGUACUGCAGACAUCUGUAAUCAGAUGAGGAACUCUGGUCCACAUCAAACACCUCACCCCGUGCUGAAACGUGGCAAUGCAGGACUAAAGAGAGACUGAUGGAGAUGAUGUGUUUUGCCAGCAGAGCAAGCCCAACAGUGCUGUUCCAGGACACUGCUGCCUUCCAUGCUGCCCUGCAGGCCAGCUCCUCACCUGCCUUGCAUCAGAGCCCAUGACCCAGAGGCCCUAGUUAAGGAGGGGAAAAAAAUCUCUUUUCCGGUCCGUGAGAUCAAUUUUAAACACGCUGGAAUUAAAUGAAGACAUUUAAGCCCUGUUUCUACGCUGAAAUGCAUCCACCGACACCAGAAACUAUUUUUAUUACAGCCUACGUUAAAUAAUCAGAUCUUCAGUUUCAUGAGGAGCAGAACAGCAGUGCUAUUCAAUCUGCUGUGCUGGCAGUGACCCUCUUACAAAGCCAUCUUUGCACCGAGCCGCAGCAAAGCACCGAGGGCAGCUUUCCUAUCUAGCAAAAACAACACGGGAAAAGGUAAACAGGUUUGAAGGGCACUUGUCUGAGAGAAGAAAGAGGACAGCUGCUUGCCCAUGCCACAGCCAGCCCUGCAGCAAUAGAACACACAAGGAUACAUCUCCCUUAAAAGCACCACCGAAAGCUUUCCAUACUUCAGCAAAGUGGCUGCUCUGUGAAAUGGGGUUUCAUCCAACGGAAGAGGAACAGGAGCAGAUAGCCGGCUUCAACACAGCAAACUUGUUAUCAAUAGCUGUCAUUGCCCAACUUGGCCCAGCUUGCUGUAAUGGAAGCUCUGUCCAUUGGAAAUUCAGAGGUAGGGAGCAGUUGGGGAUCAGUGCUCUCAGAAUUUCCAUUGCCAACAUUAUAAUGGUUAAUGUUUUAGUCCUGUUGGGGGCUAAUUUCAAGUCAUUGAUGACCCUAUGUGCACCAGUUGUGACACUCAGACAAGCCUCCAUCAAUGCACGGAGUUCAUGUGGGUUUGCAGCAUCUGGAAAGGGUGGAAUCCAGAUUCCAAACCUUCACCCCAAGCCCACACAACAAUCACAUCCAGUGUGGUAAGAAGGGAAAGCUAGCACUGAGCUCACAGGAUG